CUCCUCCAAGAUGAUGAGAUUAUCACCUAUAUAUUGGCUAGACUUGGAUCAGAAUUUGACCCCUGGUGACCUUAAUUAGUACCAGAACUGAUCCCAUAAACCUCACCGACCUCUAUGCUCAUCUCUUGAGCUAUGAGU